AAGUUGUAACAAGGUUUCCGUAGGUGAACCUGUGGAAGGAUCAUUAGAAAAUCCAGCAGUGUUCAGCACUCUUGGGCACCUUUCUAACUAUACUGUUGACCAUUACCUCAGUUGCUCCUACAGCAAAGCAAGCUUUUGCACCACUGUGAGUGGAUCUUAUCCAUAACCCUAGUAAUUAGCUAUAUCUUUGUCUGAUGAUAAAAUUCAAAUGUUUUAAAACUUUCAACAACGGAUCUCUUGGCUCUU
rnacentral:misc_RNA from 1 species